CACUGUGCUACCUGCACCAGCCCAGGAAGCACCUUCCCACGGAGUUCUGUGAUGCCCUUGACGGCUUCUCCAGCUUCUACAGCCACAGUCAGCACUACCCAGUCUUGGACAUGGGACCACAUCGGCGACUUCAGUGGACAUGGCUGGGCCGGGCUGAGCUGCAGUUUGGGGACCAGACCCUGCAUGUGUCCACUGUGCAGAUGUGGCUGCUGCUGAAUUUCAACCAGACAGAGGAGGUGUCAGUAGAGAUCUUGUUGAGGAACUCUGGCCUCUCCCCUGAGCUCCUGCACCAGGCCCUUCUGCCGCUCACCUCAGACAGUGGUCCCUUAACACUGGAGGAGGCUCAGGACUUUCCACAGGGGGACGUAUCUCAGUGUGGAAAAGGAUGAGGGCCGAACCUUGGAGCAGAAGAGGAACCUCUUGAGCUGCCUUCUCGUACGGAUACUCAAAGCCCACGGGGAGAAAGGCCUGCACAUCGAUCAGCUGGUUUGUCUGGUUCUGGAGGCCUGGCAGAAGGGGCCAAAUCCACCGGGGCGCCUGGGCCGCUCUGCUGCAGUGGGCGUGGCCUGUUCCAGCACUGACGUCCUCUCUUGUAUCCUGCAUCUCCUGGGCCAGGGCUACGUGGAGCGGAGAGAUGACCGACCUCAGGUCCUGAUGUAUGCCACCCCAGAGCCCAUGGGGCACUGCCGGGGCCAGGCAGAUGUCCCCUUUUGUGGCAACCAGAGCACGGAGACCUCCAAACCUAGGUAGCCACCCUUUUUUGGUGGAUGAGAGGGAUUGUAGGCCGAAGCUCACUGUGUAAAAGCAUUUGCUGUUAGUCCCUGCACUAGACAGGCAGAGGCGGGAGGCUCUCGGAGUCUGAGGUCAGCCAGGGAUACAAAGAGAGAACCUGUCCUAAAACAAAACCCCACUUCCUGUCUGCUCUGCUCGUUCCCUGUCUUCUAUGAUUUCUCCUCCUCGCAAGUCUUCACCGGCUUCUUCUCCACCUCCCCUCCCCCACGCCUUGCCAAUCAAGGGCCUUCUAGACCCAUUCUCCUAGAGCCAGCCCUCAGGCAGGAGACCCAAACGCACAGGUAUUGCUCUUAGCUUCGGCCUGUGCCGUAAAUCCACAUGGAGCGGCCG
rnacentral:lncRNA from 1 species